UGGUCAUAGGCGGGCAUUUCGGCGCCGGGCUUCCAGGCGCCCGGAUUGGCGACCCACUUGGCGAAAUCCUCGGUGCUGGUGCCGAGGCGCCCGGC
rnacentral:tRNA from 1 species